AUCUAAUCUGCUCAAUGAUUUAAAAUUAAAUAGCUGCAGUAUUUUAACUGUACUAAGGUAGCAUAAUCAUUUGUCUUUUUAUUAAAGUCUGGAAUGAAUGAUUUAAUGAAAAAAUUUCUGUCUCAAAUUAAUAUAUAAAAUUUUAUUUUAAGUUAAAAUUCUUAAAAUUUAUUUAAAGACGAGAAGACCCUAUAGAAUUUUAUAAAAUUUUUUAUUUUAUUUUUAUUUAUUAUUUUAAAUUAAUAAAAAUUUUAUUUUAUUGGGGUAAUAAAAAAAUUUAAUUAAAUUUUUUAAUAAAUUUUCAUAAAUUUAUGUUAAAAUUUUUAUAUCCAAAUAUUUUUGAAUUUAAAAUUAAUUACCUUAGGGAUAACAGCGUAAUUUUUUUAGAAAGUUCAUAUUGAUAAAAAAGUUUGCGACCUCGAUGUUGAAUUAAGAUAAAAUUUUAAUGUAGAAAUUAAAAAUU
rnacentral:rRNA from 1 species